rnacentral:rRNA from 1 species
GUGGCCUGCGUAUGAUUAGCUAGUUGGUGAGGUAAAAGCUCACCAAGGCGACGAUCAUUAGCUGGUCUGAGAGGAUGAUCAGCCAGACUGGGACUGAGACACGGCCCAGACCCCUACGGGGGGCAGCAAUUAGGAAUCUUUCACAAUGGGGGCAACCCUGAUGGAGCAACGCCGCGUGCAGGAGGAAGGCCUUC